rnacentral:ribozyme from 14 species
CACCAAAACUUAAGAAAGAAGAAAGAAAAGAAAAAGAAACAAAAACAAAAC